CUGGAUCAGGGCAGACAACGCCGCUCAGGUGAGGGUGUGGUUCGACAGAGAGGCAGACACGUUGUAAAAGCCACCCCUCAAAAGUGUGAGGAAAGGUGGGGCCACGUCCAAGACACUGACUGGUAAUACCUGGAGAGAGCUGGAGCCCACUCACCAGGAUACACCUUCCAUGGGUGUCUGAUUUUAAGACGAGUGGAUCCAGGCCCAGACGAUCAUCCUCUGAAUGAAACGGGAUGAUCUUCAGUGCUGAGACAUGCUCUUCCCGUGUGUCCUCUGAUUUUUUCACCCCUGAAGCCUGGACAGUGUCCCCAGAGAGGACAGAGUCUGCGUCUGACCUGCGAAUCCCACAGAGUGAGAUCCGCAGCUACCAGUCAGCCACUUCAGCCUCUCUGCCCUGUUUCCUCUACCCACUGGGCAUAAGAGUGAGCAUCCUGCCAGGAAGGCCUGUCUGUCACUCGCAUAUCAUCUUCUCACAGUUCUCAGCUUUUCAGGUCACUCAAGACUCUUCGCCACAAGAGUGUGAACAUCUAUUUCAGACAGUAGAAAGUAGGUUAGCUUAGCCGUAAACAGAAACCUUUUACAUUUUAUAUCGUACAGUUGCAUACAGAUAAAUAAUCUUCUGAGUGAAUUAACUGAACCAUAAAUGGCUCCAUCUUGUGGGAUUAGACACAAACAUUAUCUUGAUAAUAAGUGCUCAAAAUGAAAUUCACUGUACAUUCUCAUUUAUGUUUUAAGCUGUAAACUAUACUGAUUUUAUCUUAGGUGACUCUGCAAACACAUUUCCCAGCUGUGUUUUUCAAGUCCAGCUUAGAGAAGCUCAAGCGUGGUCACGCAACAGCUAGAGAAGCGACGUUAGACAAAAUCUUAAUGGUUAUUUAAGUGUUUCCUCGGCUAUCAACAGCUGUGAGUGAAACAGAUAGACGCUAGGCAGACAGACAGAGAGAGAGAGAGAGAGAAAGAGAGAGUUGUGUAGCAGCAGUCUGGAAAACCUGUAAAAGGUUGGAGGGUCAACACAGAGAGAUAUAAGCCGAGAGUCCAUUAGUGGAUUAUAACCAAAACCACUCCAUGGCUACUGCAUCUCUCCUGGAUUAAAGUGAGAGAGAGAGAGAGAGAGUGAAUGCUUGAGGGCGACUGGAAAGUGAAGUGACCAAAUUCAAAUGCAGAACACUGCAGUGUCCGCACACGUGGACCGAGAAACGCAGUGAAACGCUAAACUGAGCUCUUUGGGUGGAUCUGAGGUGGUUCUGUCACACGUACGGUACAACACCUGACUGAAAGAGUGAACGGACUGAGGUAAGUGUGAAGGAUGAACAGCUUAAAAAUGUUUCUGGAAAGUCUUUCCAGAAACAUUAUCAAUAAUCAUUGCAAUGUCAUUGUCUUUAAUAGCAAUCUAACAGGUGGAAUAUAUAUCGAUAAAUGUCUUUUUAUUGUACAAGCACAGUGAGGAGGUAUAAAACAUUUGAUCGACCUCAGUUUGUGUUUGUCAUUCUCUAUAGUCUUUGAGAAGUUUUCAAAACUACAAACUUCACUCUGGAGUGAUGUGACAUUUGUCAUAAUAAUUAUCAAUAUCGAAAUACACUUUUUUAUCUUGAUGUAAUUUUUGGCCAUGUCCACCCUUCUUUAUAGAAAAUAUUCAAUAUGGAUAAUUGUUGUGUAAAAUAUCAGAUUUCCGCUUUAAUCAGUCAGGAAACCAUUGUUGCCGUGAUGCUGAUGUGAUGGUAUGAUGAGUGUUUUACCAAAUCAUUCCUUCUCUUAAAUUUCACAUUUACUUCGCAGACGCGUAUCCUGCUAAUGUGUCUGUUAAUGCAUAACCUCUGUCAUCACCAUCAUUGUUGUUGUGUAACUUUAAUUUUGUUAUGGCCCUGAGUGAUUAUU